CGACCUUAAUAUCAUUUGAAAUAUUUGAUUCUUAUUUUAAUAACGUAUGUCAUUUCAUACAUGUAAUAUAAUUUAUCAUAGUUCAACACAAUGAGUUUAGCGUAUCAUAGGCUUAAUAAAUAAGUGAAGUAAAUAUAAAAUUAAAAUACAAAAAUCUAAAUUAACCUUAAGACGGAUGGAUUGUGCUCAAAAGCAAAGAGCUUUUUAUUUCACACUCAGAAUAUUUUUACAAGAGAGAGAGUGUGUAUUCUAGAGAGAAGGGUUCU
rnacentral:lncRNA from 1 species